rnacentral:rRNA from 1 species
CACGUAGGAGGCGAGCGUUGUCCGGAAUCAUUGGGCGUAAAGAGCGCGCAGGCGGUCGUUCAAGUCGGAUGUGAAAGCCCCCGGCUCAACUGGGGAGGGUCAUUCGAUACUGAUCGACUCGAAGGCAGGAGAGGGAAGCGGAAUUCCCGGUGUAGUGGUGAAAUGCGUAGAUAUCGGGAGGAACACCAGUGGCGAAGGCGGCUUCCUGGCCUGUUCUUGACGCUGAGGCGCGAAAGCUAGGGGAGCAAACGGG